CCACUCACUGAUUGUGAAGUGGUCUCUUACAUCUUGGCUGGGCUUAGCUCAGAGUAUGAUUCUUUUGUCACCACUGUGACAGCCAGAAUUGAUCCAAUAUUGCUUGAGGAGCUCUAUGGUCAUCUUCUGACUUUUGAGU